rnacentral:rRNA from 1 species
GGGGAAUCGUAAUAUGAAGGCUGUACGCGGCUGUGCUCUCGGGCCAGUUUUGCGGAGGCUGAAUUAUUUAUUACCCUUGUCUUUUGCGCACUUGUUGUUUCCUGGGCGGGUUCGCCCGCCACCAGGACCACAUCAUAAACCUUUUUUAUGCAGUUGCAAUCAGCGUCAGUAUAACAAAUGUAAAUCAUUUACAACUUUCAACAACGGAUCUCUUGGUUCUGGCAUCGAUGAAGAACGCAGCGAAAUGCGAUACGUAGUGUGAAUUGCAGAAUUCAGUGAAUCAUCGAAUCUUUGAACGCACAUUGCGCCCUUUGGUAUUCCAAAGGGCAUGCCUGUUCGAGCGUCAUUUGUACCCUCAAGCUUUGCUUGGUGUUGGGCGUUUUUUGUCUUUGGUUGCCAAAGACUCGCCUUAAAAGGAUUGGCAGCCGGCCUACUGGUUUCGCAGCGCAGCACAUUUUUGCGCUUGCAAUCAGCAAAAGAGGACGGCAAUCCAUCAAGACUCCUUCUCACGUUUGACCUCGGAUCAGGUAGGGAUACCCGCUGAACUUAAGCAUAUCAAUAAGCGGGAGGAAAA